UCGGACUCGCAAGACCAGACUCCAACACGGGCUGAAAAUUUGAAAUGGGACCUGACACUCUUGGACACAGAUGUCGGCUACGGCAGCGGCUUCAAAUACGCUUUGGUGACCAUAUUUCUAAUCGAGAGUUGUGCGAACGAGCCAGACAAACCAGCUGGGAGGAGGACGGAAGCACCCCUUCUCCAUCCGCGUUCAGUUGCUAAAUACUGAUUCACCCCGUAGUGUGGUGUUUUCCAUAGCUGUUCCUUGCUCCUGUAUCACAACAUAUCAAGGCUGCCAAGUAAAUGAAGAA